UAGAUGCAUUUUAUCUUACCUGCAUGUCCCUUAGCAAAUCUUUGCAUCUUUCCAACACAUCCUCGAACGGACACUGGACGGAUAACCGGAGUAUGUCGACCAGGUAUUCAUCAAUCAUAGUUUUCGUAUCAACUGCACCGUGGAUGUUGGACACCCCUUUCAUGUCCGGAGGGCUACCAUAACCUCCGAUCAAGGCAUCGAACACCCGAAGUAUGGAAUCGAACGCCCUGAUCCUUACUCCGGGGUCUCUGUUUGACAGACAGUGCACAAAUCGCAAAGAAUCCUCAUCUCGGAUUUUCAUGCGAGGAGGAUCUUCGGCCAUAUCAACCACUUUGCGGAAACCAGAAGACAGCUGAAAUUGCAUUGGUGAUGAAAUUCUUCAUGCUGACCUGUGCACUUGUGCUCUGCGACCUUGACAUGCGAAAGGGGGCGUUUCCGACCGAAUUCUGGGCCAAUGAAAUUUGUCGAGACAUCCUACCUUCGCUAGUUCGCCGGGCGAUGCAAAAAAAUAAAAGGGAGGGUACAGCACUGAAGCCAGUAUCAUUUUCAUCUUCUUUCACAUAUUACAAUUAUGGUAGCUGUUACUUAUUCAAGGAGCAGUAUUGAUUAAGUAGUACAUUUAUUUAUAUUGAUGACAAGACAUCCUAACAUUCCAAGAGCAACGUCGAUCGUGUGGUUCUCCAAAUUAAUAGCAUUAAGUGAGAUUUAUUGCAUAUUAAGAAGAUAUUGUCAAUAAGUGUAUAAGAUAUAAGACUCUUUAAUUCCGAAUGUGCACUCGAUGGUGGAACGGAACACACUAUAUAACGAUGUCGAGAAACGCUUUUAAGAGAAAAAAAGCUCCUCAUCCCACGGUACUGGUUCUUCAGAGGUCAUGUAGAACAAGUCCACUCGCAAGGAGUUGAAGAUCAUCAUGAUUUAUCAAAAGACUCGUUGGAACAGCUUGCGACAGUGGUUGAGAAAUUUGACAGUUUGACCAAGUCUUGGCCAUAUAUAAGGCAUCUUAUUUAAAGACUCUUAUUUAAAGCUCGUAUAGUAGUCUAUAUGAGAUAUGUUAUAUAACUGAAAUAAAAUAUGAAACAGCAUUGCUCCUUAGAUAAAUAAAAAAAAAACAUACAUUGUAGAUAAUUCAUGAAAUUAUAUCUGUGGUCAGGAAUUAUCUAUUUUCUUAAGAUAGGAUAUCUUUUAUUUGACAUUAAGCACAGACUUAUGAUGAUACACAUGUAACAUAGAUAUUUUGUAAAUCUAAGAAACUUAUCAGAUAUCUUUAUAGGUAUAAUUAGUAAUUAAAUAUUGGAUCAACAUUGCUCCAUGAAGAAAUUAAAUGUCAGUUCUCGGAAGUUUGCUCACCAUGAUAAUAUAAUAUGCCUAUGUAUCUUUUUCAAAGUUCAUGAAAUUUUCUUGCUUACUACAAAGACCUAUAGUGUCUACAUCUGCUUACCAAAGACAGUUCUAACUAACAUUGAUUUGACAUUUUAAAACUGAUGUCGUAAUCAUCUUUUAUGACAGUCAAACAGGUUGAAAUUAAACUAGUGAAGAAGGAACUUAUAACAUAGGUGUAAGUUCAUGAGUUAAUUAACAACAAUUUUACUUAAGUAUACACUGUAAAUACAAUGUUUAAUUGUGUGUAGAAUUGCUGUAAACAGUUGCCUAUAUGUCUGAUUUAGACAAUGGCAGCUCAUAUCUCCCUUAGGACCACCCAUAUACUUACAGGUAAAUGUCAUGAUGUAUGCUAAUCGUGGCCCCAUACCUGUUUUUGAUAACUAGCUGGUGGCUACAAUAUAUAGCUGGUGGCUACUAUGUAUAUAUAAAUCUAAUACUUGUCAAUUUUCUAACAACAACGAUAGUAUGGACUGAAAUUUCUGCCAAAUAAAAGAUUUUAUAUAAAUAUUUUUAUGUUACAUGGAUUGUGCAUUUGGUAUAACUAUAGCAUAGACAUAUCUGUAUUAUAUGUCACUGAAUUCAGUAACAGAAAUUGAAAAAGGGGGAUGCUCAAUAGCCUGUGUCAUUUUAUCGUGAUCGAAAAAAGAUAGUUAUUGAUGAAUGUGUCUAAAUGAAUUUUUAUGUGCUUCCCAAGUCACAGUAAACACCAACUUUUCUUUUUACCUAAGCUUACAGCCAUUCAGUAAAACAUACUUCAUUGACUCAUGUGUUAAUUCAUUUGAUUCAGUAGUACUGAAUAUCUUGUAUGUGUAACAAGUACUUUUUUACAAAUCUGAUUAUAUUAACCGAAAUAAAAAAAUCAGUGUCAACUUCUCAUUACUUUGAUAUUAAAGAUGAUACCUUCA